AGUGAACGCUGGCGGUAGGCCUAACACAUGCAAGUCGAACGGCAGCACAGUAAGAGCUUGCGCUUACGGGUGGCGAGUGGCGGACGGGUGGGGAAUACAGCGGAAUCUACUUUUUCGUGGGGGAUAACGUAGGGAAACUUACGCUAAUACCGCAUACGACCGACGGGUGAAAGCAGGGGAUCUUCGGACCUUGCGCGAUUGAAUGAGCCGAUGUCGGAUUAGCUAGUUGGCGGGGUAAAGGCCCACCAAGGCGACGAUCCGUGGCUGGUCUGAGAGGAUGAUCAGCCACACUGGAACUGAGCCACGGUCCAGAAUCCUACGGGAGGCAGCAGUGGGGAAUAUUGGACAAUGGGCGCAAGCCUGAUCCAGCCAUACCGCGUGGGUGAAGAAGGCCUUCGGGUUGUAAAGCCCUUUUGUUGGGAAAGAAAAGCAGCAGGUUAAUACCCCGCUGUUCUGACGGUACCCAAAGAAUAAGCACCGGCUAACUUCGUG
rnacentral:rRNA from 1 species